CCUUUCUUUUCGAAAACUCCUCCCUUUCUCUCUUCUUCUUCCCCGUGACAACACACACACACACACACAAAUACCCACAGUCGCACAACUCAGGAAGAGUCACCAUCAUCGCCGUUGAAAUGCUUCUCUCUCUCUUUCUCUCUCCCCUGCUCGCGGUGCCGGAGUACGUCGAGCAUCUCCGGCAAAUUUUAGCUUGUUUUCCGGUUGGGUUUUGGAGUGCUUUGGCACGGGUGAAGGCACCCAAAUUUUCCGGCGAGUGUGUGUGGUUUCCGAGGGAUUUUCCGGCCACCACAAGCCGUUACACGGUGAACCCAAGGUGCGAUUCUUAGCGGAGAUUUCGUUACUCCUGUUUGGUACGGCUUGCACCAUCAGUGUACGGUGAGUGGACCCCUUCUAAAAAUGC